UGUGGGAGCUGGCUUGCCUGCGAUGGCGGUGUGUCAGGCAAACUAUUUAUUGCCUGGGCUGCCGCUAUCGCAGGCAAGCCAGCUCCCACA
rnacentral:antisense_RNA from 1 species